UGUUGUUCCUCCGCGGCGUGAGCCUGCGCCUUCUGCGUUGGCAAGUAGGCCUUCGCCUGCUGAUGUUCUUGGUCCCGGUGCUUCUGAUCCUUCGAUCACAGGUUGGACUGAUGCCUUGCGCGAGGUUCAUUCCUUGGUCGGAGAUCGUUUUCGUCAGAAGCUCCGCGGCAUGGACUUUGACACGCUCCUUCGCGUGCAAUAUGAGCACCAUAGCCU